rnacentral:rRNA from 1 species
GACGAACGCUGGCGGCGUGCUUAACACAUGCAAGUCGAACGGAAAGGCCCUGCUUGCAGGGUGCUCGAGUGGCGAACGGGUGAGUAACACGUGGGUGAUCUGCCCCUUACUUUGGGAUAAGCCUGGGAAACUGGGUCUAAUACUGGAUAGGACUAUGCCGUAGGCGGUGUGGUGGAAAGAUUAGUUUCGGUAAGGGAUGAGCUCGCGGCCUAUCAGCUUGUUGGUGGGGUAAUGGCCUACCAAGGCGUCGACGGGUAGCCGGCCUGAGAGGGUGGACGGCGACAUUGGGACUAGGAUACGGCCCAGAGUCGUACGGGAGGCAGCAGUGGGGAAUAUUGCACAAUGGGCGCACGCCUGAUGCUGCAGCGCCGCGUGGGGGUUGACGGCCUUCGGGUUGUAAACUCCUUUCAGCCAUGACGAAGCCCUUGUGGUGACGGUAGUGGUAGAAGAAGCACCGGCUAACUACGUG